CCCUUAGAGUUUGAUCCUGGCUCAGGACGAACGCUGGCGGCGUGCUUAACACAUGCAAGUCGAACGGGGUGUUUAUUUCGGUAAACACCAAGUGGCGAACGGGUGAGUAACGCGUAAGCAAUCUACCUUCAAGAUGGGGACAACACUUCGAAAGGGGUGCUAAUACCGAAUGAAUGUAAGAGUAUCGCAUGAGACACUUACUAAAGGAGGCCUCUGAAAAUGCUUCCGCUUGAAGAUGAGCUUGCGUCUGAUUAGCUAGUUGGUGAGGGUAAAGGCCCACCAAGGCGACGAUCAGUAGCCGGUCUGAGAGGAUGAACGGCCACAUUGGGACUGAGACACGGCCCAGACUCCUACGGGAGGCAGCAGUGGGGAAUCUUCCGCAAUGGGCGAAAGCCUGACGGAGCAACGCCGCGUGAACGAUGAAGGUCUUAGGAUCGUAAAGUUCUGUUGUUAGGGACGAAGGAUAAGGAUUAUAAUACAGUCUUUGUUUGACGGUACCUAACGAGGAAGCCACGGCUAACUACGUGCCAGCAGCCGCGGUAAUACGUAGGCGGCAAGCGUUGUCCGGAAUUAUUGGGCGUAAAGGGAGCGCAGGCGGGAAACUAAGCGGAUCUUAAAAGUGCGGGGCUCAACCCCGUGAUGGGGUCCGAACUGGUUUUCUUGAGUGCAGGAGAGGAAAGCGGAAUUCCCAGUGUAGCGGUGAAAUGCGUAGAUAUUGGGAAGAACACCAGUGGCGAAGGCGGCUUUCUGGACUGUAACUGACGCUGAGGCUCGAAAGCUAGGGUAGCGAACGGGAUUAGAUACCCCGGUAGUCCUAGCCGUAAACGAUGGAUACUAGGUGUGGGAGGUAUCGACUCCUUCCGUGCCGGAGUUAACGCAAUAAGUAUCCCGCCUGGGGAGUACGGCCGCAAG
rnacentral:rRNA from 1 species